UACGUAGGGUGCAAGCGUUGUCCGGAAUUAUUGGGCGUAAAGAGCUCGUAGGCGGUUUUGUUGCGUCGGCUGUGAAAUCCCGAAGGCUCAACCUCGGGUCUGCAGUCGAUACGAGCAAACUAGAGUGUUGCAGGGGAGACUGGAAUUCCUGGUGAUAGCGGUGAAAUACGCAGAUAUCAGGAGGAACACCGGUGGCGAAGGCGGGUCUCUGGGCAACAACUGACGUGG
rnacentral:rRNA from 1 species